GAUGAACGCUGGCGGCGUGCUUAACACAUGCAAGUCGAACGAAGCACUUUAUUUGAUUUCCUUCGGGACUGAUUAUUUUGUGACUGAGUGGCGGACGGGUGAGUAACGCGUGGGUAACCUGCCUUGUACAGGGGGAUAACAGUUGGAAACGGCUGCUAAUACCGCAUAAGCGCACAGCAUCGCAUGAUGCAGUGUGAAAAACUCCGGUGGCAUAAGAUGGACCCGCGUUGGAUUAGCUAGUUGGUGAGGUAACGGCCCACCAAGGCGACGAUCCAUAGCCGACCUGAUAGGGUGACCGGCCACAUUGGGACUGAGACACGGCCCAAACUCCUACGGGAGGCAGCAGUGGGGAAUAUUGCACAAUGGGCGAAAGCCUGAUGCAGCGACGCCGCGUGAGCGAAGAAGUAUUUCGGUAUGUAAAGCUCUAUCAGCAGGGAAGAUAAUGACGUUACCUGACGAAGAAGCACCGGCUAAAUACGUG
rnacentral:rRNA from 1 species